CCAAACCCCUGUGAACAUACCUAUAAUUUGCCUCGGCGGACUCAACGACGGUGCUCCGAGAAAUCGGGCGCCGCUCGCUGCCAGAGGAACCCCAAACUCUAUGUAUUCUUGUGGAUCUUCUGAGUAAAACAAAACAAAUAAAUCAAAACUUUCAACAACGGAUCUCUUGGUUCUGGCAUCGAUGAAGAACGCAGCGAAAUGCGAUAAGUAAUGUGAAUUGCAGAAUUCAGUGAAUCAUCGAAUCUUUGAACGCACAUUGCGCCCGCCAGUAUUCUGGCGGGCAUGCCUGUUCGAGCGUCAUUUCAACCCUCAAGCCCCCGGGCUUGGUGUUGGGGAUCGGCGAUAGUCGCCGUCCCCCAAAUCUAGUGGCGGUCUCGCUGUAGCCUCCAUUGCGUAAUAGCUAACACCUCGCAACUGGAACGCGGCGCGGCCAAGCCGUUAAACCCCCAACUUCUGAAUGUUGACCUCGGAUCAGGUAGGAAUACCCGCUGAACUUAAGCAUAUCAAUAAGCGGAGGAAAAGAAACCAACAGGGAUUGCCCUAGUAACGGCGAGUGAAGCGGCAACAGCUCAAAUUUGAAAUCUGGCUCUCGGGCCCGAGUUGUAAUUUGUAGAGGAUGCUUUUGGUGCGGUGCCUUCCGAGUGCCCUGGAACGGGACGCCAUAGAGGGUGAGAGCCCCGUCUGGUUGGAUGCCAAUCCUCUGUAAAGCUCCUUCGACGAGUCGAGUAGUUUGGGAAUGCUGCUCUAAAUGGGAGGUAUAUGUCUUCUAAAGCUAAAUACCGGNCAGAGACCGAUAGCGCACAAGUAGAGUGAUCGAAAGAUGAAAAGCACUUUGAAAAGAGAGUUAAAAAGUACGUGAAAUUGUUGAAAGGGAAAGCGU
rnacentral:rRNA from 1 species